rnacentral:lncRNA from 1 species
AGUCCUCUGAUUCUUUCUUCAUCGGUCCACCUUUUGUCUCUUGAGAUCUUCUUUCUGCUUCCCUGGCUUUCUCUCUCUUCCCACUUUCUUCUUCCUCCUCCUUCAUACUCCUUCAAAACAAUAGUCAACUCAUAACCGCCUGGCAGCCAGAGUCCUAGAUCUCUCUAUCUUCUCGCCCUCGACACCGUCAGGGCCGGGCAACCCAUCGUCGUUACGGGUCAGCUUCGUUUAUUUUUGCACUCCUAUGGUUUACCGGUGAUCCCGACGUCGAUCUCGCCCUCUACACCCUCGCCGCCGCGCGUUCCUUCCUCGUCCAGCAGCAUAUUUAUCUGAAAUCGAAAGCUGAAAACUUUUUCACCAACCAAAUGGCCCUGAGUCUCGUCCAAUGUUUUUCUGAGAAUGAUACAGGCUGAGAGCGCUUGUUUCUUUGAAGCGAGCGAGAUCUAGAGCCAAAGCAAAGGGAAGAGAUCGUUGACUUCGCUGCCGAUCGGGGAAGGGCAACCCCGGGUCAGAGGCCGCGGUGCCUCUCCCAGAGCAAAGCCGACUCUGCUUCAGCCUUCAGCCCUUGAUUUUCGUAGCAAGACUCUCUCUCUGUUCCGAUGCUUGGCAAUCUAGGGAAGCACAUGUACCAUCAUCACUUCUGAUGGCUGCUUCUUCGAAUAUGGAAAGGAAUUACCAUGUGUUCCUCAGUUUCAGAGGGACAGAUGUCCGCCAAGGCUUCCUCAGUCAUCUCUACGCGGCUCUGGACCAGAGAGGAAUAUACACUUUUGUGGAUAGCGAGGAGCUUAGGAAAGGAGAGGAAAUAUCGCUGACGCUCAUGAGGGUGAUCGAGGAAUCGCGCAUCGCGAUCAUCGUUUUCUCUGAGGACUACGCCUCCUCGCCGUGGUGUUUGGAAGAGGUAGUGAAAAUCAUGGAGUGCAAGGAGCGAAUGGACCUGAUUGUGUUCCCUGUGUUUUACAAGGUGGAACCAAGAGAAGUAAGAGGAGGGAGAGAGAGUUAUGGGAGAGCUAUGGCUAAUCAUGAAUCCAAGCUUGGGAAGGAUUCGGAGGAAGUGAAGAGAUGGAAGAAGGGUAUCUUUGAUGCUGGUAACUUGUCUGGGUGGCACUUGAAUGACGGGUAUGCACAAAUGUGACUCAGUGCUUUGCCAUUGUUAGAUGUCAAAUAGUAUGCUCUUUUUUUUAAUAAAAUUGAAUAGUAUAUUCGAAUUGCUCAAACAAUGCAUCAACUUCUUUGAAUUUGCACAUAUAAGCUCUUGUUUGAACGACGGUAUGCACAAAUUGAAUCGCUAAUUGUAGACGUUUAGAGGUUAAUUGGAAAUGCUACUAUAAAUUUGAUUACCCAUGAGUAGGAAAGAAUCACUCCCACUGGAAAAGUGGUAUACAUUGUUAAAUCGGUCUUUUGAUUGAAGAUACAAGAGGAGAUAUGCUAGACAGUAGUCACAGAAGUUGAAUAACCAAACUUCAAGCUAGCAGAUUCUUCGAAUUCGAUUCUUGCUGUGUAGAUGAUGAGAAAUUUUAUGUCUUAAAUUAAUAGUGGGGUUCAUAAUUUCCGAGUCAUUAUUGUCAUGUUCUUUGUAAUUAUUCUUCUGUAGAUGUUGAUGCAGGUUCACCCAUAUUUUUUUUUGCUAAACUUCUUACGAAAUUUUCCUUUAUGAUGUUAGAGGUUGAAUUCCUGCCAUGGCUUUGCAACGCUAAAACAUGGUUCUCUUUCUUUUGACUGUUAAUCAGAGAUGAAGCAGAGCUCAUACAACGCAUUGUGAAGGAAUUAUCAAUUCAUCUUGAUCGAACACCCUUACACGUGGCUAAGUAUCCGGUCGGAAUACACUCCCGCGUUGAAGAACUGAUAUGGUUGUCACAAAAAGAGUCGGCCAAUGAUGAUGUUCUAAUGAUAGGCCUAUGGGGACCUGGAGGCAUAGGGAAGACAGCAAUUGCUAAAGCCAUGUAUAAUGCUAUUGAGAGACAAUUUCAGGGUUCCAGUUUUUUGGCGCUAGUUAGAGAAACUUCGAAACAAAUCAAUGGUUUAGUUGCUUUGCAAGAAAAACUUCUAUCAGAGAUCUUAUCCCUUAGAAGUUUAAUGGUAUAUAGUGUUGACGGAGGAAUUAGUUUGAUACGGGAAAGACUAUGUUGCAAGAAGGUUCUCCUGGUUCUUGAUGAUGUUGACCGGUUGGAUCAGCUCAACGCAUUAGCUGGAGAAGGCCAUUGGUUUGGCAAAGGAAGUAGAAUCAUUGUUACAUCAAGAGAUAAACAUUUACUAACUUCUCAUGGCAUAAAUUGUGUGUAUGAAGUUCAAACUUUAGAAGAUGAUGAAGCUCUAGACCUUUUUUGUCAGCAUGCCUUUCCAAAGAAAGUUGAAAUAAGAAGGGAUCUCAUAGAUAGAGCACUGCAUUAUGCUGGCGGCCUUCCAUUAGCCCUUGAAGUGUUGGGCUCAUUCUUAUGUGAAAGAAAUGAACCUGCAUGGGAAAGUACAUUGCGUAAACUCUCCAAAGGUCCUGACCAAACUAUCAAUCAAGUUCUCAAGACAAGCUUCGAUGGAUUGGAGGAUAACGAGAGGGAGAUUUUCCUCGAUAUUGCUUGUUUCUUUAAAGGGAAAAGUAUAGAGUACAUCAAGGAAGUUCUUGAUAGUUAUGAUUUUGACACAACCAUAGGAGUAGAUAUCCUCAUUGAGAGGUCCUUGAUCAAAAAUGAGUAUGGGACCCUGCAAAUGCAUGAUUUGGUUCAGUUGAUGGGUAAGGAUAUUGUUAAUCGGGAAUGUCUCGAUGAUCCUGGGAAACGCAGUAGACUAUGGCUUUUCGAAGAUGUUCUGAACAUUCUAUGUGAAGAUUUGGUAAAAGUUGUUUAUGUGAAUUUCGCCACAUCUCAGUUUUUACAUUACUCUGAUUUGCAUAGUAUAACGUAAAUCUCAAUGGAAAUCUUGUGACACAACUGAAUUUGCUGUGUUAUGGACAGGGAACGAAUGCAGUAAAGGCCAUAGUAUUGGAGUUGCCUGCACCACAACAGAUAACUAUAAAUCCUAAUGCUUUCAGACAUGAAAAUGUUGAGAAUGCUCAUUUUGCAUGAGCUGCAUAUUUCUUCACAAGGUCCCGUACGUCUCCCUAAUGAGCUUAGAUGGCUCAAAUGGCCCAAUGCCCCUGAUCUAGAAUUUGGCUCUGGUCCAAAGAAGGUUGUUGGACUCGAUGUCCAGAACAGUCAUAUCAGACAAUUACGAGGCCAAAUUAAGGUAAGCCCUUGUGAGGAUUAGCUUUCCCUUUUUAUAACAAUAAAUAUUUGCAGAGCUUAACGACUUUUUUUUUCUUUUUUUGUCAGACAGAGUUUUUGACUGCACUAGUAUGUUUUUGCAGAAUUUUAGAAAGUUGAAGUCCAUCAAUUUCAGUGAAUGCAAGUCCCUAACUAGUGUUCCCGACCUUUCAUUGGUUCCAAAUCUGGAGAGCUUCAAUCUUGAUGGGUGUGAAAGCUUGGUGGAAAUUCAUCAAUCCGUCGGAUAUCUUGACAAGUUGAAAGUAUUGUCGCUCCGAUGGUGCUCUGAACUUAGUAUGUUUCCUAACAUGCUCAAGACAAAAUCUCUUCAAAUCCUUGAUCUUUGCGGUUGCUCUAAACUUGAGAAGUUCUCUGAUGUUCCAGGAAAGAUGGAAAAUCUGGAAGAACUUCAUCUAGAUGGGACAGCUAUUAAAGAACUCCCUGCAUCAAUAAAAAAUUUUGUCUCUUUGAAGAGGAUAGGUUUAGGAUAUUGCAAGAACCUUGCAAGGCUUCCAUGGAGCAUUUAUAAGUUGAAAAAUCUUGAGAUUCUUAAUCUUGAAGGUUGCUCGAAUUUUUUCCUGUUUCCAAAGAACUUGGAGGAUUUAACCGAUUGCAAUGGUAAUAUGGGAUUCUCAAAUCUAAACUGGCUAGAUCUUGAUAGCUGCAAUCUAUCAGAUGUAGUGUUCCUUGAGAGUUCUUCCAGUUUUCCCAAAUUGGCGUGGCUAAAUCUUUCAAAUAACAAGUUUACUCAUUUGCCAACAUGCAUCAACAAGUACGAUGGUUUGGAAGAAUUGCAUGUUUAUAAAUGCAAGCAACUAAAAGAUAUUCCUCAGCUUCCAUCAAAAAUGCGUUUUUUAAGAGCAAAGGGUUGCAAUUCUCUGCAAAAACUCCCAGAUUUGUCGAGUAUUUCCUCCUCCUUCCUUCAAGUUGACUUGUCUUCAUGUUCCGAAUUAUUCCGCGAAGGGGUCAACAUAACUGAUAUGUCAUCACUGGAGGUCAGACUCUCUCUCUCUCUCUCUCUCUCUCUACCUUUGAAUGCUUGAUACCCUACAAUCUGUAUGACAGAAACUCCCUAAGAAGAGCAGAGUCGACAUUCUCCUUAUUGGAAGUGAGAUUCCAGAAUGGUUUCUCCACUGUAAAGAGGGUUCCAUAUCUUUCAUGGUUCCCCAGUACUUGUAUAACAAGUUCUUAGGACUAGCGCUCUGUUUUGUUCUCGGCCUGGAGGAAGGAAAAGUGGUUGAUGCCUCAUGUCAGGUCCAAAUAUUUGUUAAUGGCAAAAAUUUGCUUCUGUAUGGGAGAAUCUUUUAUUCAGUGGAAUCGGAUCAUGUCUGGCUUAUAUAUUUCCCACGCAGAAAUCUAAAAAUGUAGAGGAGCAUCUGCGAAAUGAUUGGAGCCAUUUCGAAGUUUGCCUUCGAGUAUCGGAAGUAAGUUUAAAGAAGCAUGGAUUCCGUCUAGUAUGCGUGGAACAGGAGGAUCAUCUGAGGGUCUGUGCUCCAACACAACAAGCCAAUUUGGAGUUUCAAGGAGACUUAGAGGUAGACAAUUCAUAGACACUAAGGAAGAAGAUAACCCAAGUGAAACAGACGUAAAGGUGAUCGACUUAACAAAGAAGAUUAGACGGUCUUAACUGUGGCGAAAGCAUGGGUCCUAUUCUCUCCAACUCUGAUAUGAUUGUUGGCUUGCAAAAAUGCCUGUCGAAUUGGUCUCUCGACUACAGACCAAGGAAAGAAAAAAGAUUAGGUCUCGAGGAAGUGAUUUUAGGGAAAGCGAACUGGGUGAUUCUGAUUCCAAUGCCUUUUGCUUUUCCCUUUUUUGCGUAUCUACUAGAAAUUUGUACAUGUCUACUCCUUCGAUUAGAAUUCAAAAUGACUAUGGAACAGAGGUUUCGCAUGAUGCUGCUGACUUGAUUGAGGCACUUUUUUUUACCUUCUCUCUAUGAUUUGUGAUGUGAGCGCACUAAUUCAACAUUAAGUGGAUGCUUGUUGAAUGGCAAGGUCUUCCAAGUUAUUCUGUGAAAUUUAUCACAGACCUCUUUCUCCUCUCUUAAACCAAUUAAUGAUGCCAAUGCUUAAUACUCUACAAUUCUGAGAAUUUACUAAAUCUAAUAUAAACUAUAUAUUUAGGAAAGUGUUGAUCUAAUUGUCUCAAAUAUCAAAAGGUCCAUACGGGGGAAAUUAGUUGACUCUUCGUUGUUACUAAGCAGAUUGCAUUGGAUAGCUAGAAAGGGAGAGCUUUAGCUUUGAGACUUUGCAUUUAAGCAAAGCACAUUGACUUUAAGAAUUUUUAUGAUAAGCAUAUAGCGUAUAGUAAAAACCUCAUAUAAUACUUAUUGCAAAGUAGUUCAUAAAAUAAGAGGGAAAAAAAAAAAAAACAAAAGGAGAACGGAGAGACUUGCCAUUACAAAUAGAAACCCAAGCAUGGGGCUCAACGGUAGCACCAGUGCCAACGUCCCACAACCUAGGUAAUGUGCCUGGGGUAAAUUAUCAAAAAAGUCAUAAAUACAUGACAAUCAAGUCAAUUCAAUCUUAAAUAUUUUAUUUUUGUCAAAUUUAGUUAUAAACAUUUUAAUAAUUUGCCAAUUCAAUCCAUUCAGCUAAUUUUGGCUAGCGUAGAUGCUAGCUAUCUUACGUGAUGCCAUUGGAACUAAUAUGGACAAGAUUUAUAAUUUUUUAUUUUAUUAUUUAUUCUCUCUCUCUCUCUCUCUCUCUUUUAUUAUUUUUUUUUUUAUUGUGACCUUGCCAGUGAUUGGUUGGUGAAGUCAUGGCUCGCCCAACCCCCGACGAGGCCCGAGUCCUCACUAAGGUUGUGAGGUUGACCCUCGCGGCCUUUGACUUCAUAGCCUUUGGGGAGGGCCACUCUUGCCCAGUAAUGGUGGGGUUGAGCCUUGCUAGCCACAAUGAAAAAAAAUAAAAAUAAAAAAUAAAAAACAAAAAGAGAAAAAACUUCAUAAAAUUUACAAAUUCAUAAAAAAUUAUCCACAUCAGUGACAACGGCACCAUGUGGAACGGUCAUCAUCCUUGAUGUGGUGUUUGGAAGAGGCUGUGAAAAUCAUGGAGUGCAAGGAGCGAACGGGCUUGAUUGUGUUCCCAUUGUUUUACAAAGUGGAACCAAGAGAAGUAAGAGGAGUGAGAGAGAGUUAUGGGAGAGCUAUGGCUAAGCAUGAGUCCAAGUUCGGAAUGGAUUUAGAAAAAGUGAAGAGAUGGAAGAUGGCUCUCUUUGAAGCCGGUAGCUUGUCUGGGUGGGAGUUGAAUGAUAGGUACGCGCAAAUGUGACGUGGUGUUUUGUGAUUGUUAGCUUGUGAUUGUUUGUUAGAUAUCAAAUCAUAUGCUCUUUUUUGGAUCUUCCAAUUAAAGAUACAAAGUGGAGAUAAAUUAGACAGUAGACACAUAAUCAAAUAACCAAAGCUCAUAGAUUCUUUGAAUUGAUUCUUGCUAUGGAUAAUGAGAAAUUUAUCUAACAUAAAUAGUGUGAUUCAUAGUGCCCGAGUCAUUAUUGUCUUCAAAUUUAGGUUCUUUAUAAUUUUCCUCGCGUAGAUGUUGGCGCAGGUUCACCCACUUUUCAUCUUAUUAUUUACUAAUCUUCUUAUGAAAUUUUCCUUAUCACGUCAGAGGUUGAAUUCCUGCGAUGGCUUUGAAAUGCUAAAACGGCUUUUUCUUUCUUUUGAGUGCUUAUUAGAGAUGAAGCGCAUCUCAUACAAUGCAUCGUGUGAAGGAAUUAUCGAUUCAACUUGACCGAACACCCUUACAUGUCGCUAAGUAUCCUAUCAGAAUAGAUUCUCGAGUUCAAGAACUGAUAUGGUUGUCACAGAAAGAGUCGGUUGAUGAUGAUGUUCUAAUGAUAGGUCUAUGGGGACCUGGAGGCAUAGGGAAGGCAACAAUUACUAAGGCCCUAUUUAAUGCUAUUGAAAGACAAUUUCAGGGCUGUAGUUUUUUGGCACGAGUUAGAGAAACUUUGAACUCAAGCGAUGGUCUAGUUGCUUUGCAAGAAAAACUAAUGUCUCAGAUCUUAUCUCGACGAGAUGUAAAGGUUGAUAAUGUUGAUAUGGGAAUUAAUUUGAUACAGGGCAGACUAUGUUGUAGGAAAGUUCUCCUGGAUCUUGAUGAUGUUGACCAGUUGGAUCAAUUGAAUGUGUUAGCUAGAGAAGGCAAUUGGUUUGGCAAAGGAAGUAGAAUCAUUGUUACAUCAAGAGAUAAACAUUUGCUAACUUCUCAUAGAAGACAUUUUGUUUAUGAAGUUCGGACUUUAGAGUUCAAUGAAGCACUAGACCUUUUUAAUCGGCAUGCUUUCCCAAAUAGCAAGAGAGUUGAAAUAAGAUGGGAUCUCAUAUGUAAAGCAGUGCAAUAUGCUAACCGCUUUCCAUUAGCCCUUAAAGUGUUGGGCUCAUUUUUACGUGGGAGAGAGGAACCCGCACGGGAAAGUACAUUGCAUAAACUCUCCAAAAUCCUUGAACAAACAAUUAAUUGAGUUCUCAAGAUAAGCUUCGAUGGAUUGGAGGAUAAUGAGAGGGAGAUAUUCCUCGAUUGUGCUUGUUUCUUUAAGGGGGAGAGUAUAAUGUACAUCAAGGAUGCUCUUGAUAGCUGUGAUUUUGACACAACUAUAGGAAUAGAAAUUCUCAUCGAGAGGUGCUUAAUAAAAAAUAAGUAUGAGAUCCUACAAAUGCAUGAUUUGAUUUAGUUGAUGGGUAAGGAUAUUGUCAAGCAAGAAUGUCCGAUGAUCCAGGGAAGCACAGUAGAUUAUGGCUUUUUGAAGAUGUUCAAGACAUUUUAUAUGAAAAUACGGUAAGAGUUGUUUAUGUCAAAUUUUCUACAUCUCAAUUUUUACAUUACUCUAAUUUGGACAAUAUAAUGUAAUUCUCAACCAGAAUUGUUUGACGACUUAAUUUGCUCUGUUAUGAAUAGGGAAUGGAUGCAGUAAAGGCCAUAGUAUUGCCCGCCCUAGGAGUGAUAACCAUUAGCCCUAAUGCUUUCAUAAACAUGAAAAUGUUGAGAAUGUCACUCCCCGAAGCUCCUUGAGCAUGCGCACAUCCCUCGGUGGAUAGCGACGUCCCAGGACGCGUCACCGACUCAUUCGUUUUAUUGCACAUGCAGAAGCGAAUAAACAAUUCUCCUGACAGCCAAACAGCAUAGGAUAGAAAAGUAGGACAAUAAAUUCACAACCAAAAUACGCUUUUAUAAACCAACUAGUUUAUAUACAAUACUAGUCUUAUCUACCAAAAAUAUCAGUCCUCAAAAGGAAAUUGUCCUAUGAUCCACUAGUCAGACACAUUCACUGACCCUUCGAACUCCACAGGCUUCGGGGGUGCCAGGUCCACCACAACACCAUCAGGAUGGUCUACUGUACCCUCGCCAAAAGUAGCAUUUACUACUGCAGCUAGGAUCUCAAAAUCUUGGAGGGGACUCACUUUGUAUCCAUUGAGCCCACAGCGAAACCACGCCUUAAAUCGAUGAAGUACCCUCUCAGGUAGGCCCUCAUUGACCUAGACAGUGGUUACUAUGAGCUCAUAGACCUAGACCCUGUGGCCUCUGGGAACAAGGUAGUCAGUAACCAACUCAGUCACCCUCCUAGGUUGACCAUAACGCAUUGGAGGGAUCGCCAUCUAAGGACCUGAAAAGAAUUGAGCCAACGACGGAUUGAGACAAUAUCUUAGCAAGUUCACCCUCUAAACUCCGACUAGGAAGGAAAUACGCUUAGAGGCAGUCUAUGCACACAAGAUAGAGGACUUACCUCCCCUUAGUUCCCUCUUACAUAUUAGCACAAUUCAUAUAUUCAAUCAAUUAAUCAAUCAAUUCAAUUUAAUCUAUAUAAUCGAUCCAUCAAUCAAUUCAAUCAAUACAAUCUAUUAAUGAGUCAAUACAAUAGCAGGGGUCCCGAUUAUAAGGCUAAAUUAUUAUGACACGUCCCAUAUCGUACCACACAAUUUUGUCCCAUAAUCCGGCGCGUCAAAGCCAAUCAAUCACACGUUCCAAUUUCGAUUACUACUCGCAAAGGACAAUAUACCGACGCAGAUCGGUCUUCUGGCGUAGCCAAACUUCGUCUCACACCUUUGAGCACGGCAACAUCCAUCAACACACAUUGGGGAUAACAUUCCCGAAGGAGCAUCGGUCCAGAAUUUACUGCGACCGGCUUUUGUUGUCCAGGGGCAUCCCAUAUAGGGGCAACGUCUUACCGAUGCACAUCGGGGACGGGUUCACUUAGCCAUCACACGAUCAAUCAACCCGGGCCAAUGAUAUUGUGCUUUGCAUUCAAAUGCCUCAAUUAAAAUAAUGACUUGGCCUAUUUUCUUCGUAUUAAAAACACCCAAUAAAAAAAUAAUCGUGUGUGGGUUCACGGUCAAAUUGAACUAGAAAAAUUGAUAUCAUUCCUUUUAAAAUCCCACUAUUUGAUAUAGUAAUUAAAACCUUUUUUUUUGGUGUCAAAAUCCGAUACCCGGGAUUUUCUAAUUGAAUAUCAAAUUUCACAAUUUUGGAAUAAAUAACCAAAUUUCACAAUUUUGGAAUAAAUAACCAAAUUUCUAAUCAUCACUCAAUUUGCACAGAUUAACACUCAAUUGCAUAAACUAAGCACACCAUUGCAAUUAGCACGAAAUUCCAGUCACUAGCUAUCCUGGUAUAAUUUUCGAAAAAUAUUAAAUAAUUAAAUAAUGCAAUUUAAUACAAUAAAUACCAACUUAGGGAAACGCUAGUCUAACCACCUAAACGGGCCUAAAAAAUUUCCGUAUAUAUCUAGAUAAAUAGUACAAUCUAAUUAGCCCCUAAUCAAUUUAUUCUAACCACCUAACAUGCACAAUUGAAUAAUUAAAUCACUAAUCUACACUAACUAACCACAUAAUCCUUAAUUAGCCUAAACUAAACACCCUUUAAGCAUUAUUAACUCUCUAAGUAUAUUUUAGCAAGUAAACUCAUUGGUUUAGUGGGAUAGUGAGUUCACGACGUCGGCGACGCAGAGGCGAGCAAAAAAUGAGCCUACGACGACACCAACAGAGGUCUAGGUGGGCCUAAAAACGAGCCUUGAAGACCAAGAACCCUUGUUGGCUUCAGUUUUUGCUUGGGCGGGAAGAACCGGUCGAAGGGGCUGCUCGGCUAGGGGAAAGGGGCAUAGCGGGACGACAAGGGCAGUAAUGGACCAGGCGGGCAAUUCCAGCGGCUGGACGGCAAUGGUGGAGCUCCGGCUGAGCUUUGACAGCGAUCGGGUGGCUCGGGACAACAGUUGGGCACGAUAGGAGGCACGAGCGAGCGGGACAAUCGCAUGAGUGAGCGGGCGGCGCGACGGGUGUGCAACGGCGGUCCGGCAGCUUUGGGCGGUUGUCGAUGGCAAGGGGGAGGGCUUCUCUGGUUUCUUUGCAAUUUUUGAGCUCAAGACUACCUCAACAAUGGAUAAAGGUGGCUGGGGAAGAAUAAGAAGAUUGCUGAAGGAUGGAGAGUCCCAUUUGGCCACAAAAGUCCAUGGAAAUAUCCAUUCUACUCAAGUUUAUGCCCCCACCACUCUUGGCUAUCAUCCAUGGCCAAUUUGCAGCACCAAAUUUCCCCUAGAAGCUUCCCCAAAUGGUCCAUAAUGUUGUCUUCCCCUUAGCCUACGAAUUUUGGGCCAAUUCCACCUUCAAUUCCUUUCUAAAUUGACCCAAUUGAUGUCCAAAAAAUUCAGCCAAUGUGUCCUCGUCAAAUACAACAUUUUUCCUCUUCAACUGAACCAACUUGACGUCCAAAAUUGCGACAAAAAAUGGCCCUGUGAUUUUUCCGGUCCAAAAUAACCUUACUUUGAUUUUUUCGCCGAAAUCUCUCGUUUGCAGAAAAAUCUUCGGAGGAUGAGUUGACGUUCUUAAAAUGAAUCAUGACAUGAAAAAACUUUUAAUUUCUAAAAUCGGGUUCAAAUUCGCGGUUAAUUUCAACCGGGCACGAUUUUAGCGUAAUCUAGCUUAUCGGGUAGUUUUUAUGAAUUUUUAGUGCAAUUGACCUGUGGUCGAUUAUUUUCGAGCCACAUUGUACCUCUUCGACACAUUGGUGAUUUUCGAUUUUCGUGAAAAUCUCAAGAUUUCAAAUAUGGACACGGGGUACAUAAAUGACAGAAAAAUCAGUCUAGUGCUGUUCGACAAAAAUUUUGCAAUUAGGUGGAAUCACCCACACUUUAAUCACAUAAUUUAAUCGAAUUGACCUAUCUCUGAUCUCUAAUCAAUUUUGAUAGUGCCGUAUUGACUCUUGCAGAUUAGCAUGAUCAAGCAGUUGAUUUAUAGUUGAAUUCUCAAAUUUAUUGCGUUAAAAUCCCUUAACGGCUUCAUCAGAUAGACUAGUUAUCUCGUGAGUGAUUAGCUCAAAGAAAAAGACUAUAGGUGCAUCGAUGAAAAACCCAACUUAUUCAAUUGAAAAUAGAAUUGGAAAAUCGUGAUGUCGCAGAAAAUGCUCAUUUUGAAUGUUCACACUAUCUCUUCACAGGGUCUUGUGCGUCUCCCUAACGAGCUAAGAUGGCUUAGAUGGCCCAAUGCCCCGGAUCUAGAGUUUGGAUCUAGUCCAAAGAAACUUGUUGGACUUGAUGUCCCAAAAAGUCCUACGAUACAAUUAGAAGGCAACUUUCAGGUAAGUCCUUGUGAUGAGAGCUAUGCCCUUUUAUAGCUAUAAAAAUAUUUACAAAGCUUAAUGGUUGCACUAGUAUGGUUUUGUAGAAUUUUAGAAAGUCGAAGCACAUCGAUUGCAGUGCAUGCAAUUUCCUGGCUAGUAUUCUCGACCUUUCAUUAGCUCCAAAUCUGGAGAGCUUGAAUCUUGAUUCUUGCGGACGUUUGGUGGAGGUUCACCAAUCCGUUGGAUAUCUUCACAAGUUAAAAUAUUUGUCGGUACAAUCGUGCAUUAAUCUUAGUGUAUUUCCUAAUACAAUCCAGUCAACUAAUCUUCAGGAACUUCAUCUCUCUCGCUGUUCUAAACUUGAGAAGUUCCCCGAUAUUCUAGUAAAGAUGAAACAUCUAGAAUAUCUUGACUUACAAGAGAUGGCUAUUAGAGAACUCCCCAUAUCAAUUGAAAAUCUUGUUUCUGUGAAGAAGAUAGGUUUGGAAUAUUGCAAAAACCUUGCAAGGCUUCCAUCAAGCAUUUACAAGUUGAAAAAUCUUGAGUCUCUAAGUCUUGAAGGGUGCUUAAAUUUUGUCACAUUUCCAAAGAACUUGAAGGAUUCAAACUGAUCCUAAUGGCGAUAUGGGAUUCCAAAAUCUAUGCAAGCUAAGACUUAAUGGUUGAAAUCUAUCAGAAGUAGAGUUCCUUGAGAGUUCUUCUAGUUUUCUGCUAUUGGCAUGCCUACUUCUUGCAAAUAACAAGUUUACUCAUUUGCCGACAUGCAUCGACAAGUAUGAUUAUUGGAAAGACUCAUUUAUUCAUAAAUGCAAGAAAUUACAAGAGAUUCCUCACCUUCCAUCAAAUUUGUGUACCAUAGUAGCAAAUAGUUGCAAUUCUCCGCAACUCCCAGAUUUGUUGGGUUUGGCCUCUAAUUGCCCCUCUCUCUCUCUCUCUCUCUCUCUCUCUCUGUAUAUAUAUAUAUAUUUAUGACAGGAACUCUUGGAGAGGACCGAAGUCCACAUUCUUCUCAAUGGAAGAGAUGCAUGAUGGAUUCCACACUAUAAACAUGAUUCUUUAUCUUUCAUGGUUCCCCAAGACUUGUAUGACAAGUUCCUAGGAUUAGCACUCUGUUUUGUUCUCGACUUGGAGCAACGAAAACUGGUCCAUAAUCAUUCAUAUGUGCUUAAAAUACAUGUUAAUAAUGCCCUGAGAGUGUCUUCAUCUUCCGACCAAAUGUACUUUUAUCCAUUGGGAUCCGAUCAUGUGUGGCUUAUGUAUUUCCCACACAAAACACUAAUUAGAGGACGAUAUCAUCCGCGAAAGGAUUGGUACCAUGUCCAAGUUGGACUCAGAAUCGAAAAGAAGCUUGAAGAAGUGUGGAUUCCAUCUAAUAUGCGAGCAACAAGAAGAUGAUCUGAGGGUUGUGCUCCAGCACCAUCAGCCUAUAGAAAGAAAUUGGGUUGUCAAGGGAGGACACUUAGAGGAAGAGCCGAUAGAAGGAAAUUGGGUUUUCGAGGCAGGAGACCCAGAGGAAGACAUUGAAGACUCCAAGGAAGACAAUAGAGACUCAGAGGCAGACAAUUCAAUAGACACCGAGGAAGAAGAUAGUCUAGCCGAACAGAACUUAACAAAGAAGAGGAAAUGUUCUUAACUGUGGUGAGAGUAUAGCUUGCAAAACAUGCCUGUCGGAUUGGUCACGACUUGUUGAGGAAGUGAUUAUAUGUGAUUUUGAUUCCAAUGCCCCUUGCUUUUCCCUUUAUCAGUCUCUACUAGAAAUUCAAAAAUGGCUGCUCCAUCAAUGUUAAUUUGAAGUCAUGCUACUGAGAUGGUUGAGGAACUAUUUCUUCCCCUCUUGUUUUCUAUGAUUUGUGAUGCAGAUAGACUGCACUAAUCCAACAAUAAGUGGAUAGAUAACAUUGAACUUUCAAUAAUUAAACAUGUCAUUUAUACUAAGUAAAUAUUCAAAGGAGAUAUAUCAACAUAGAAAGAGAUAUUUACACCUAAAGUAUCUCAAACUAAUCUAAUAAAAAUAAAUAAUUAAAACCAAAUAUCCUCAUUUAUCUCAUAAAUUGGAAAAGUCUCUUUUAAUCUCCUAAUAAAAUCCUUUGAGAAUUCUGAAGACACAUUGGUCAACCAUGAAAAGACCUUCAGAGAGCCCCUAUGGCUCCUCAAAGGCGCAUUCAUUAUGCGCCAUGUGACACUCAACUCAAUGGUUGAAGUCUUGGUUGUCUCAAUUCCAUAGUACUCUCUUAUAAAAGCUAUUGCAAGCCUUCUAUAAUCCGGGACCAUGUUGACCUCCCAUAGACGAUCUAACACUGCUUGCCAUUCUAGUGGAAGAGUGUUCACUAGGGCCAUCAUCUUCUAAAAAUCCGAUAUAGGAUAAUCAUUCCAAAUGAUUUAUUGUAUCAUCUGAUUGACCCUGAACAUCGUCGUCAUUCUACCGAUAAUUAACUAAUUUUGUUUUUAGCCCAUCAAGUUUCGCCUUUUGUUCGUCUAUUCUCGGAAAUAUAGGCAUGUGUACAAAAUGAAUUAUUGCUCUUGCAACAAAUGUGGGACAAAAGGGUUGCAUAUAAUCCACAACGAACAUAAUAGGAAAAUCAUAUUUUCCUCUUUUUUUUUUUUGUUGGUCAACACCAGUCAACAGUGGUCAACGAUGGUCAACUCUAGUCAAUGAUCGGUCAACGGAUGACUGAGUCGGGUCAACAAGUCAGCUAGGGGCAAAAUGGUAAUAAUGUCAAACAAUAAGCGCAUGGGAACCGCCUUGGCAUGUGCGUUGCACACUCUAACGAUGCAAGACUUCCGACCAUGCAUGGCGGCACGUCCGGCAGUCCCCCGCGGUGAUCCACCCAUCGUUUUUCUUGUCUUAACUAGAACUAUGACUCUGCACUAUCAAAAACAAGUUUUGAUUUAUGGAAAAUCAUGAAAGGGGGGCGAAUAGUAUAGGCGCGUCAGGAUUUCCGUCCUUGAACGUCCGACGGUGACGUUUCUCAAAAUCUCGGCCAAAAAACAAUUUGUAAACAUCAAUGAUGAUCAAGAAACAUGAACAAUAUUGCUUUAAUACCAAUGUUGGAAACAAACUCCUAAAAAUUGAAUAGAUACUCAAACAAUCGAAUACCGAAAACAAAUGUGAAAAAUGUGUUUGGGAAAACAUGUAACACCGAUCGAAGGCAUAUCAUGGAGAUGGACAUACCUUAAUUGUCACAGAUUAAGUACCGUCAUAGUUUUUGAGGAAUUCUUUGAAGCCCUAGGGUUCUGUUUAUUGAGAGAAGUAUAUUACUUCAAAGGGAGAAAAGUGAAGAAACAAAUUUCUCUCUGAAGAAUGAUACUAUUCAGAUAUCCCGUUUUUUACUUUUUAUUUUAUAUAUUAGAGCAACUACACUCUUUUAUAGGCCCUUCAUUUACUGGCCAGGUUUUGGCCAAACAUGGACGGACGGGCUUAAGUUGACCCAUCAUUGAGAUAAUUAUAGGGUUUUAGUCAAGUAAAGAUUCGCAUCCGUUGUUACAAUUUAUUUUUACCAUAUACCUCAUUUUAAUAAUUACAAAAAUUCCUCUAUAAGUAUGCCAAUUUCAAUUGAUACUUAUCAAUUUGUUGGUUUAUGGGGAAAUUCUUUGAGCUAAAAAGGGGUAAAACAAUAUCUGAUGAACUAGCUAGAUGUAUACGGAAUACAGAAGUGUGGUGAACAAAUGGGUUAAAGGAGAACACCUAAAAACAAGAAGCUUCGGUACAAAUCCAAUAGAAUUGUCCAACCUCGCUAAACAUUCGGAAUGUGUAAACCGUAUCGAAUCUGCACUUUAUAUCACUAUAACUCGUAAUACCAUAAAUUAAUUUUACCGAUGUAUCAUAAUAGUAUUGUACUUUUAAUUACAAUGGGAUGUUGUAAUAUUAUAUUAUACAUUCAAAAUAGUAUAGAAAUGACUCAAACUUACGAGUUUGUUAUUGAAUAGGAAUGAUACGUUGAAAAAUAAUGAAUUUUUCUAUUUUUAUGCCAAUCGGGAAAAAAAAAAAAAGGAGAGUUCUUCAAUUUACGGCACAGAUAAGCUUAUGGGAACCAAAAUCGAGUUUAUGUAAAACUUAAACAUGAGUGGUCGAUAAAAAAAAAAAAAAAACAUGAAUGUGCCAUACAAUUCAGCCUCUUCGGUCGGCCCCUCCCUAAACAAAUCACCGCCGUCGAUCAUAUCCAACGACCCACCUCUGUCUCUGGGCCCCACUGCAUAGUGCAUAUCCCCAAUUCCCCAUCCCUUUGACCCCCGCUCACCUUGAAUCUCUCCUUCUUCGUCAUUUUUCCCAUUCCAUUCCGUUUCUUUAUAAAUAAAUAAAAAACGGAUUUGAGUGUAAAUAAAAAAAAAAUAUUAAGAGGUAUCCAAAAGACACUGAUUAAGAAUAAUAAAAUAAUAAAAAUACAUAUAAACGCAUUGUAAAGAAUUAAGCAAGAACAAAUUUCGAAAGAGAGCAAUUUAUUUUAAUUUAAUUUAAUAUAUACAUUUUUUUUCUUCUUCUCCUCUUGAAAAGUUUUCAGUCCCAUUUCAAUUGGCAAGUGAAAAUGCCAAGUGAUUUCCUCUAAGAAUAUUUUAUAAAGUGAAGUUCAUACUAAGAUUGCAUUUAUAUUCUUCAUUGACUUGCGCUAAAGUUCAAUCUCUCUGACUUUCCAUCUCAUUAGCAACCCUUCGUUUCAAGUCUUGGAGACCUAAAGUUAUGCGCAAAAUUCAAUGAAGUAGAAAUGAUAUUGCCAAUCACUUUCUGAACUCAAGAAAUUGCCGAGAACCGUACACGAUCAUUUUCGAAUAGUGGGGGAGAGGGAACGAGGAAAGUUCCGAAAGGGAAAUAGGAGAAAGAAACUUGGGCCACGGGCAAAUGGCGCAAGAUCAUUUUCGGAUAGUCUUUGACUGUACCUGAUGGUGAUAAUGCGCGUGGGGUUCCUAAACCCAAAAGGAUACCCCCGGUAGUCGUGGGGAUCUGAUCUACGUAUAACUUUCUUUGGUCUUUGUUCCAUUGCGUAAGCCAUAAUCCACAAACAAAGUGAUAUAUAGAUGAGAGCUAGAGCCUGGAAACCCCAUCAGAUAGUAAACAUUCUUGAAGCCCAUCAUUCAUCGGCUCUUCUCAUGGCUGCUUCUUCGAAUCAGAAAAGGUUUUAACAUGCUCCUGAGUUUCAAAGGCAAGAACGUCCACAACAACUUCCCUAGUCAUCUCUCUAAUUGAAAUUUGAAAAUGUCUGCUCCUUCAAUCAGAAAUCAAAAUCACUAUGAAAUAUAAAUUUCGCAUCAUGCUACUGACAUGGUUGAGGAACUUCUUCUUUUUCCUCUCUUUAUUUAUGAUUUGUGAUGCUAAGUAUUUUAAUUCAAAAUUAAUUGGAUGCUUGCUGAAUGGCCAUGGUCUUCCGAGUUGCUUUGUGUAAUUUAUUAUAAGGACAUCUAUCACCUCUUAUAAUCUAAUUGAUGAUGCUAGCACUUCAUACUCUAAAAUUCUGAGAUAGUAAGUUUGAAUCAAUCUAAUAUGAUCCAUCUCUUUGGGAAAGCAUUGAUCUAAUUGUCUCACAGAUCAAGAGGUCUAUACAGGGAAGAUUAGUCGGCUCCUCUGUUGUCACUAGGCAGAUUGCAUUGUAUAGGUACUAAGGGAGAGCUUUAGCUUUAAGAUUUUGCAUUUAAGCAAAGGACAUUGACUCAAAGGAAUUAAUUUUAAAGUAAAUAGUGUUUAAUACCUUGUUAAAAUACUUACUGUAGAGCAUUUUUUUUCAAAUAAGCAAGAAGAAGAGAAUAGAGGAACUUGCAGUUGCAUAUGAAAACUCAAGCGGGGGCCACAAAACUAGACCAGUGCCAACGUCUGCGAUCCCAUUGCGCUAACGUGGUCCCAUGCGAUGCGCAACGCCAUGGCCACACAAAUAGGUAAUGCAACGCUCGACCCUCAACAAACUAGAUCUGGUGUCAGGUGACCCUAGGCGAGUAGAAUUUGGUGUCGAGCGACCAACCCCGGUAAAGCUUGCUGAUGUCCCCCAACCCUCGUCAAGCUUGCCGACGUCCCCCAACCUUCUCCAAAAAGCAUCCCAGCCAUGAGCGACCACGGCUCUCUCUGUCUCCAUCCAAGAUUGGGUUGGGGGGACGGGUGCUAUUGGAAAAAACAUGAACAUGCAUGCCAAAGAUGUUAAGCCCCCGAGCUCUCCCUCGAGCUUCGACCAUUUUCAAUGCAAAAUUUUGCACCAAAAUAUUUUAGCUUAUUACACUUUAAAAUUUAAUAUCAACUUAAAAUGCUCUCGGAAUUGGUACUUUUUUAGGGCGAUCAAUAUUCACCGCUACAACCAUUUAAUAACAGGAUUAAUCAAUCUUUUUUUUUUCAAUUUUUUUUUGUCAAGCUUGCACCCCUUUUUUAUAUAUGAUUUAAGAAUUAGGAGGUAAGAACAUAGUGAUUCAUGGUUCAACAAUUUACAUUAACCUCAAGAAAAAAAAAUUAAACGUAGUUAUAAUUACUCUAAAUAUUAUUCUAUCAAAGAAAGAGUCAAUAAAUAAUCUCCAUACUAUAUAAGGAGUCGGCCGAUAUUAAUAAACAGUUAGGAGGACUAAAUAUUCAUUACCCUUAUUAAAAGGUUUACUUGUUUUCUUCUCUCAGAAUCAUACAAGUGUGAAAUAUUAUGUUUACUUCAUUUAUACAAUAAAGAAUCCCUAAUAUUGUGCACGCAAUUCAGGCUUUAUAUUAUAUUAUAUUUUUAUUGUAUAAUUGAUGUACACAAAAUAUAAACACGUCUUUGUCUUUCUUCCUAUUUGGUAAAAAAAAAUCUUUCACAAAAUAGAAUUUAUUAAUGUAAACACUUAAUUCGUGUGCUUGUUACUCUAUAACUAUACUAAUACAACCACAAAAUAGAAUUUAUUGUAAAUUAUUAAUGUCUCUUUAAAAUAUAUAUGUCAAAUUGUUUACUCCAAGUAAUUUUACAAUGUUUUAUACCAAACAACGUAACUUUGCUAUCAAAAUAUCUUCUCACUCUAUAGGGUUUGCGAGGGUCUUCUAUAUAUGUAGUCUUUCUUCGUCUAAUAACUUAAAUUUCUAGGUUGGACUAUUCAAUAUAAUAUCAAAGCCAAGUUCACACUUUUUUUUUUUUUUGUAUAUGUGGCUCUCCAUACAUCAAAUUCACCUAUCAUUUUAAGAUCGGUUUUGCACGCUAAAAGAGAUAUUAUAAUAUUAUACAUUGCUUAUUUACAGAAUUUAUACUUACCUUAUUAUCUCUUCACGAAUAGUGGCCAACAAAAAAAGAAAAAAAUCAUAAUUAAGUGACUCCUACAAGUGCACGAUUACGGAAUGCCGCAUGUGAAAAAAGUAACUUUAACCUACUAUGAACUGAGAUGACAAAAACCAAUCAAAACAAAUAAUGUUGAUUAAGCUUUUUUAAGUCUAAAGUCCAAGUAUGCAAGGACUGACCUGGUUCAUUUUUUUUUUUUUAACAUAGUGAUCAAGAUAAUAUUUUUUACUUACUUAUAGUAGAUAGAAAUAAAAUCUAAUUUUAAUUCUCCAAAAAGUUGACUGAGAUAGUGAGAGAUUGAUUCAUACGACACAUCCUAUAUCUAGUUACAUACUCGCCAUUGGCGAUCAUGGGCGUGCAUAUCCCAAGCUUAUGGGGUUCAUGUCCCAAGGUUAAAUAACAAGACAUUAUAUAUUCUUUUCCCAACUUAACAUCGUGUUUAGCUUAUGGGGAUUCAUGUCCUGAGACUUAAUAACGAUGCCAUGUUUAUUUUUUACCCGACUUGUAUCAAGUUUUUCAUCUCCCAUACCUUUUCUUGAAUGCUUUCAAUGCUUGGUUGUUUACUUUAAAAAGCCAUUUCAAUGGCCUAUUUGUUAAUUUCCUUUCUAGAAGCUUGAGACUAGAAAAAAAUUUUAGUUGUCAAUUAAAACUCAGAUGUCAAUACUAAUGUAGACAAUUUUAAAUUUUAAAUUCUAUUUUUAUUUUCUUCACAAAGCCAACAAGACUGUCGACCCCCCUCACUAGGCAUGGGGGAGGGUUCGUUGUUUCACAAAAAUAAUAUUUACAAUAUAUGAAAAUCAAGAUUAGGCGAAACUUAAACAUGAAUGUGCCAUAUGAUAUUGAACUUCAACUCGUUAGUACUCAGCUCAAUAGUUUUACAAGUCUAAUUGAGUUUUUCUUUUUGUAAAUUAUUUAUGUGAAAUUUCAAGCCCAAUCUAUUUAUAUUUCAGCAUAAUAAAAUUGAGUCCAAGUGCAGCUUUUGAAUACUUCGAUUUUCUUUUCCAAUUAAGUUCAAGCAAGAAUUUCAAUUCUCAAUCAAGCUAAGCUCGAGUGAAGUUUCAUGCUAUCAAACAUGUGAGUCGAGCUUAACAGUGCAUCAGCUCGUCUCAAUGUGAUUAUCCUUCUAUCUCGAGGAGUAGGCCUAGGACGCUAGCGCUUAGACUUGAUACCUCAAAGGUGGAUUUGCGCGUCCUUGUGCGUCCUUUUUGCGCGUUCUUUGACGCGUCCUUUUUUCGCGUCCUUGCGCGUCUUUUUUGCGCGUCCUUACGCGUUCUUUUUGGGACGCGUUCUUUUUGCGCGUCCUUGGGCGCGGGCCGGACCCGAGAUCUCACAGCCAGAUUUAUAAACCCUAGUAGAAGCUUUCGUCUUCUGAGUCCUUGGCCAAUUCUUCGUCGUUCCAGAUUCGUUUGUUGAUCACGUCGAUCUCGCCCUCCACACCCUCACCGUCGCGCAUAAGCAGCAUAUUUAUCUGAAAUCGAAAGCUCAAAACGUCUUCACGAGCCAAAUUACCCUGAGUCCGGUCCAAUAUUUUCCUGAGAAUGGAACAGGCUGAGAGCGUUUGUUCCUUUGAAGCGAGAGAGAGCGAGAGCCAGAACAAGAGGAAGAGAUCGUCGACUUCGCUGCCGAUCGGGGAAGGGCAACGCCGGGUCAGAGGCCGCCCAGCCUCUCCGAGAGCAAAGCCGACUCUGCUUCAGCCUUCAGCCCUUGAUUUUCGUAGCAAGACUCUCUGUUCCGAUGCUUCGCAUUCUAGGGAAGCACAUAUACCAUCAGCUAUUCCAAUGGCUGCUUCUUCGAAUAUGGAAAGGAAAUAUUACCAUGUGUUCCUCAGUUUCAGAGGAACAGAUGUCCGCCACGGCUUCCUCAGUCAUCUCUACGCCGCUCUGGACCAGAGAGGAAUACACACUUUUGUGGAUCGCGAGGAGCUUAGGAAAGGAGAGGAAAUAUCGCCGACGCUCAUGAGGGCGAUCGAGGAAUCGCGCGUUGCGAUCAUCGUUUUCUCUGAGGACUACGCCUCCUCGCCGUGGUGUUUGGAAGAGCUCUUCAAAAUCAUGGAGUGCAAGAAGCAAAACAACCUGAUGGUGGUGUUCCCAGUGUUUUACAAAGUGGAACCCAGAGAAGUGAGAGGGGGGAGAGAGAGUUAUAAGAGAGCUAUGGAUAACCACGAGUCCAAGUUCGGGAAGGAUUCAGAGAAAGUGACGAGAUGGAAGAGGGCUCUCCUUGAUGCUGGUAACUUGUCCGGGUGGCACUUCAAUGACAGGUAUGCACAAAUGUGAUGCAGUGCUUUGCGAUUGUUAGCUCGUGAUUGUGUGUUAUAUAUCAAAUCGUAUGUAUAGCUUCGAAUUGCCAAAACGAUGCAUCAAGUUCUUUGAAUUCGCAGUAGACACAAAAGUCGAAAGACCAAAAUUUGAAGCUAGCAGAAAUUUCUGUCUUAGAUAAGUAGUGUGGUUCCAAGGACCCGAGUAAUUAGUGUCUUCAGGCGCACAUUCUUUGUAAUUUUCCUUCCGCAGACGUUGACGCAGGUGUGUAUUAUUUCUUUUCAUUUUAUUAUUUGUUAAUCUUCUUAUGAAAUUUUCCUUAUGACAUUAGACGUUGAAUUCUUGCCACGGCUUGAAAUGGUAAAACAUGUUUCUAUUUCUUUUGAGUGCUCGUCAGAGAUAAAAGAGAUGAAGCGGAGCUCGUGCAAUCCAUCGUCAAGGAAUUAUCAAUUUAUCUCAGACCAAGAUCCUUAUAUGUCGCUAAGUAUCCAGUCGGUAUAGAAUCCCAAGUUCAAAAUCUGAUAAGUUUGUCAGAGCCAGCUGGCAGUGAUGUGUUGAUGAUAGGUCUAUGGGGACCUGGCGGCAUCGGAAAGACCACGUUUGCUAAGGCACUAUACAAUGCUAUUGAGAACCAAUUUCACGGUUGUAGUUUUUUGGAGCGAGUUAGAGAAAAAUCGAACCAAAGCGGUGGUCUUGUUGCUUUGCAAGAACAACUUCUAUCUCAGAUCUUUUCUCGUACAAAAUUUACGGUCUACACUGUUGACGAAGGAAUUAGUUUGAUACAGGAAAGACUAUGUCGCAAGAAGGUUCUCCUAGUUCUCGAUGAUGUUGAUGAUAUGGGUCAACUGAAUGCCUUAGCUGGAAAAGGCGAUUGGUUUGGCAAAGGGAGUAGAAUCAUUGUUACAUCAAGAGAUAGACAUUUAUUAACUUCUCAUGACAAAAAUUAUGUGUAUGAAGUGAAAAUUUUGGAAGACAAUGAAGCACGAGACCUUUUUGGUCAGCAUGCCUUUACAAACAGCAAUAAAGUAGAAAUAAGAAGGGAUCUCAUCGAUGGAGCACUGCGUUAUGCCGGCGGCCUUCCAUUAGCCCUGGAAGUGUUGGGCUCAUUCCUACGUGGAAGAAAGGAACCUGAAUGGAAAAGUACGUUGCAUAAACUCUCUAAAAUUCCUGAAUCAAAAAUCAAUCGAGUUCUCAAGAUAAGCUUCGAUGGAUUGGACGAGAAUGAGAGGGAGAUUUUCCUUGAUAUUGCUUGUUUCUUUAAGGGGAAAAGUAUAAAGGACAUCAAGGAAGUUCUUGACAGCUGUGAUUUCGACACAAUCAUAGGAAUAGAAAUUCUCAUCGAAAGAUCCUUGAUAAAAAAUGAGGACGAGACCUUGCAAAUGCAUGAUUUGAUUCAGUCGAUGGGUCAAGAUAUUGUUAAUCAAGCAUGUCGUGAUGAUCCUGGGAAACGCAGCAGAUUAUGGCUUUUGGAGGAUGUUGAGGACGUUUUUUGUUAUAAUACGGUAAAAGUUGUUUAUGUCAGUUUUGCUACAUUUUGGUUUACAUUACUCUAAUUUGAACGGUCUAACGUAAAUCUUAAUUGAAAAUUUUGUCUGACAACUGAAUUUGCUCUGUUAUGGAUAGGGGACGGAUGCAGUAAAGGCCAUAGUAUUGGACUGGCCCCUACCAAAAGCGAUAAUCAUCAGUCCUGAUACUUUCGCAAAUAUGAAAAAGUUGAGAAUGCUCAUUUUGCUUGGAGGACAUAUCUCUUCACAAGCUCAAGUACGUCUCCCUAACGAGUUAAGAUGGCUUGAAUGGCCCAAUGCCCCGAAUCUAGAAUUUGGCUCCUGUCCAAAGAAGCUCAUGAGACUCGAUGUCCCAAAAAGUCAUAUUAGACAAUUAGGGGGCAACUCUCAGGUAAGCCCUUGUGAUGAUUAGCUUUUCCUUUUUAUAGCUAUAAAAAACAUUCGCAGAUCUUAAUGACCGCAUUAGCAUGUUUUUGCAGAAAUUUAGCAAGCUGAAGUCCAUCGAUUUCAGUGAAUGCAAGUCCCUGGUUAGUAUUCACGACCUGUCAUCGGCUCCAAAUAUGGAGAAAUUGAUUCUUAAGGGGUGUGAAAGCUUGGUGGAGGUUCACCCAUCCAUUGGAGAUCUUGUCAAGCUAGAAGUUUUGUCACUAGAAUUGUGCUCUAAUCUUAGAAAUUUUCUUAACAUGCUGAAGACUAAAUCUCUUCAAACCCUUGUGCUCCAUGGUUGCUCUAAACUUGAGAAGUUCCCAGAUAUAGUCGGAAAGAUGGAACAUCUGAAAAGACUUGAUCUACAUGGGACAGCUAUUAAAGAACUCCCUGCGUCAAUUGAAAAUCUUGUCUCUGUGGAGUCGAUGAAUUUAGCAUCUUGCAAAAACCUCGUGAGGCUUCCGUUGCAAAUUUAUAAGUUGAAGAAUCUCGAGUCCCUUGAUCUUGGGGACUGCUCGAAUUUAAUUACGUUUCCAAAAAACAUGGAGGAUUCAACUGAUCCUCAUGGCUGUUUGGGAUUCCGAAGACUACGCCAACUACACCUUUAUGGCUGCAAUCUAUCAGAAGUAGAGUUCCUUGAGAAUUUUUCCAGUUUUCCCGCAUUGGAGUUUCUACACCUUCAAUAUAACAAGUUUACUCAUAUGCCGACAUGCAUCAACAAGUACUAUUGUUUGCGCUCAUUGAAUGUUAGGGGAUGCGAAGUACUACAAGAGAUUCCUCAGCUUCCACCAGAUAUAGUUUAUCUAUAUGCAGAUUGUUGCAAAUCUCUACAAAUACUCCCAGAUUUGUGGGGUCAGCCCUCCCACACCUGGUCUGUUAGCUUGGUUUCAUGUUGUGAAUUAUUCGGCAAAGGGGUCAAUAUGGAUGAUGUGGCUAAUGUGUCAUUACUCGAGGUCUCUCUCUGUUUAUAUGUAUAUGUAUAUGUAUAUGUAUAUGUAUAUAACUUCAAAUGCUUGACAUGCGUACUUUCCGUGUGACAGAAACUGCCAAAGAUGAUAGAUGACGUCAGCAUUGUCGUAAUUGGAAGAGAGAUGCCUAAAUGGAUUCUCCCCUGUGAAGAGGAUUCCAUAUCUUUCAUGAUUCCCUGGGAGAUGUACGACAAGUUAAAAGGAGUAGCAGUCUGUGUUGUUCUUGGCCCGGAGGAAGGAAAAGUGGUCGAUGCUUCAUGUUCAUUCGAAAUAUUUGUUAAUGGCCAGUCAGCGGGUCAAUGGGUGGAAUCUUUUUAUUUAUUAGAAUCUGACCAUGUGUGGUUUUAUUAUUAUUAUAUACACCAUUUUGUAAUUUGGCAAAAUGAUGGGAUCCAUUACCAAGUUUGCCUCAGGGCAAAAAUAGCAAGCAUAAAGAAGUGUGGAUUCCGUCCAAUAUACGAGCAAAACGAGGAUAUUCUGAGGAUGGUGAUCCCAGCACCAUCCGACAAUGGAAACAAAUUGAAGUUUUCAAGGAGUGACUCAGAAGAAGAUUGUUCAAUAGACACCGUGGAAGCAGAUGUUCUAUUUGAAAUAUCUGCAGAGCAAAGCUCAUCACGUUUAACAAAGAAGAGAAGACGGUCUUAACUACGGUGAGACUAUGAGUUCCAAUGUCUUUACUUUUCCCUUUUCUGGGCCUCCACUAGAGAUUUGCAAGUGCCUGCUUCUUCAAUUAGAAUUCAAGAUCAUUAUAAGAUGGGUUUCGCACCAUGCUAUUGGCAUGAUUGAGGAACUUUUUUUUUUCUUUCUGCCUUGUUUCUCUAUGAUUUGUGAUGCUGAGUGCAUUAAACCAAAAAUUAAGAGGAUGCUUGUUAAAAUGGCCAUAGUCUUCCAAGUUACUCCGUGUAAUUUAUCACACGAGCCUCUGUCACCUCUCUUAAUCCAAUUAAUGAUGUCAAUAUUUGGUACUUCAAAAUUCUGAGAUAGUAAAGUUUGCUCAAUCUAGUAUAAUCUGCAUCUUUAGGAUAGUGUCGUUUGAAUUGUCUCAAACAUCAAGAGGUCUAAACAGGGAAAAUUAGUUGAUUCCUCUAUUGUUGGUCGGCAGAUUGCAUUGGAUAGGUAAAAAGGGAUAGCGCUAGCUUCUAAGAAACUUUGCAUUUUGGCAAAGGAGGUUGACUUCAAGGAUUUUCAUGAAAAGCAAAUAGUAUGUGGCGAACACCUUCUAAAAUAAGUAUCGCAAAGCAAUUUUGUCUUUUGAGUCCUUGGCCUACCCUUCGUCAUUCCAGAUUCGUUUGUCGAUCACAUCGAUGUCGCCCUCCACACCCUCGCCGCCGCGCAUAAGCAGCAUAUUUAUCUGAAAUCGAAAGCUGAAAACGUCCUCAUGAGCCAAAUUACCGAGUCCGGUCCAAUAUUUUCCUGAGAAUGGGACAGGCUGAGAGCGCUUGUUUCUUUAAAGCGAGAAAGAGCGAGAGCCAGAGCAAAGGGAAGAGAUCGUCGACUUCGCUGCCGAUCGGAGAAGGGCAACGCCGGGUCAGAGGCCGCCGUGCCUCUCCGAGAGCAAAGCCAACUCUGUUUCAGCCUUCAGCCCUUGAUUUUCGCAGCAAGACUCUCUGUUCCGAUGCUUGGCAUUCUAGGGAAGCACAUGUACCAUCAGCUCUUCUAAUGGCUGCUUCUUCGAACAUGAAAAGGAAUUACCAUGUGUUCCUCAGUUUCAGAGGGACAGAUGUCCGCCAUGGCUUCCUCAGUCAUCUCUACGCGGCUCUGGACCAGAAAGGAAUAUACACUUUUGUGGAUAGCGAAGAGCUUAGGAAAGGAGAGGAAAUAUCGCCGACGCUCAUGAGGGCGAUUGAGGAAUCGCGCAUUGCGAUCAUCGUUUUCUCUGAGGACUACACCUCCUCGCCGUGGUGUUUGGAAGAGCUCUUGAAAAUCAUGGAGUGCAAAAAGCGAAACGACCUGAUUGUGGUCCCUGUGUUUUACAAAGUGGAACCGAGAGAAGUAAGAGGAGGGAGAGAAAGAUAUGGGAGAGCUAUGACUAAGCAUGAGUCCAAGUUCGGAAAGGAUUUGCAGAAAGUGAAGAGAUGGAAGAAAGCUCUCUUUGAAGCCGGUAGCUUGUCUGGGUGGCCCUUGAAUGACAAGUACGCACAAAUGUGACGCGGUGCUUUGCGGUUGUUAGCUUGUGAUUGUUUGUUAGAUAUCAAAUCGUAUGUAUAGCUGCGAAUUGCCGAUGCAUCAACUUCUUUGAAUUCGCUGUAGACACAAAAGUCGAAAAACCAAAAUUUCAAGCUAGCAGAAAUUUUAGUCUUAGAAAAGUAGUGUGGUUCCUAGGACCCGAGUAUUUUGUGUCUUCAGGCGCAGAUUCUUUGUAAUUUUCCUUCCGCAGAUGUUGGUGCCGGUAUGUGUUAUUUCUUUUCAUCUUUUUAUUUGUUAAUCUCCUUAUGAAAUUUUCCUUAUGACGUUAGACAUUGAAUUCCUGCCAUGGCUUGAAAUGGUAAAACAUGUUUCUAUUUCUUUUGAGUGCUCAUCAGACAUGAAGCGGAGCUCAUACAAUCCAUCACCGAGGAAUUAUCAAGUCGUCUCAGACCAAGAUCCUUAGAUGUUGCUAAGUAUCCGGUCAAUAUAGAUUCCCGAGUUCAAAAACUGAUAAGUUUGUCAUAGUCAGCUGGUAGUGAGGUUUUGAUGAUAGAUCUAUGGGGACUUGGCGGCAUAGGGAAGACUAUGAUUGCUAAGGCCCUAUAUAAUGCUAUUAAGAAGCAAUUUCAGGGUUGUAGUUUUUUGGCACAAGUCAGAGAAAAAUCGAACCAAAGCGAUGGUCGUGUUGCUUUGCAAAAACAACUUCUAUCUGAGAUCUUACCUCAUACAGAAUUACCCGGUCUACAAUGUUGAUGGAGGAAUUAGUUGAUACGAGAAAGACUAUGUUGCAAGAAGGUUCUCCUAGUUCUUGAUGAUGUUGAUAAGAUAGAUCAACUACAUGCCUUAGCUAGAAGAGGCAAUUGGUUUGGCCAAGGAAGUAGAAUCAUUGUUACGUCAAGGGAUAAACAUUUACUAACUUCUCAUACCAUAAAUUGUGUGUAUGAAGUUAAAACUUUACAAGAUGACAAAGCACGAGACCUAUGACGACCCAGACCCGAGGCAGUACGGAGGGACGGACUAAGAUCACCUCGGCAGUACGUGGGCAAGGCUAAGAGCAUUUCUCCUGUCCCACAUCGCUUAGGGGGAGAGUCCUAGGCUAGUUUAUAAUGGCUUGGGCCUCUCUAAUCUGUGUAACGUGUUUCACGUACGCUUCCGCUGCGCUGAAAACAAAGCCGUGAGGGAGGACGGGCCGGUGGGCCAUGCCUCCAAAGUAGACAAUAUUAUGGCUUGGGAGAGGGAAGGCUUGAGGGAUGGCCCUAUGUCCCUGCGUAAUGCGUUUUAAGUCCGUGAGGACUCAGUGUCCAAAGCAAACAAUAUUACAUAAUGGGGCUCGGGUCAUUACAAAUGGUAUUGAAGCAGACUCCUGACCACGUGUGGGGCCACAGCGAGGGCACUGUGCCUUAAGAGGGGGAGAAUGUGAUGACCCAAACCCGGGGCAGUACAGAGGGACGGACUAAGAUCGCCUCAGCAGUACGCGGGCAAGGCUAAGGGCAUUUCUCUUGUCCCACAUCACUUAGGGUGAGAGUCCUGGGCUAAUUUAUAAUAACUUGGGCCCCUCUAAUCUGUGUAAUGCAUUUCACGUAUGCUUCCACUACGCUAAAAACAAAGCCGUGAGGGAGGAUGGGCCGGUGGGCCGUGCCUCCAAAGCGGACAAUAUUAUGGCUUGGGAGAGGGAAGGCCCGAGGGAUGGCUCUCUGCCUUUGCGGAACGCGUUUUAAAGCCGUGAGGACUCAGUGUCCAAAGCGGACAAUAUUACACAGUAGGGCUUGGGUCAUUACAAGACCUUUUUGGUCAAUGUCCAAAGCGGACAAUAUUACAUAGUAGGGCCCGGGUCAUUACAAGACCUUUUUGGUCAGCACGCCUUUACAAAUAGCAAUGAAGUAGAAAUAAGAAGGGAUCUCAUAGAUGGAGCACUGCAUUAUGCCAACGGCCUUCCGUUAGCCCUGGAAGUGUUGGGCUCAUUCUUAUGUGGAAGAAAGGAACCUGCAUGGGAAAGUGCAUUGCAUAAACUCUCCAAAAUUCCUGAACCAACUAUCAAUCAAGUUCUCAAGAUAAGCUUCGAUGGAUUAGACGACAAUGAGAGGGAGAUUUUCCUCGAUAUUGCUUGUUUCUUUAAGGGAAAGAGAAUAGAAUACAUCCAGGAAGUUCUUGACAGCUGUGAUUUCGACACAACCAUAGGAAUAGAAAUUCUCAUCGAGAGAUCCUUGAUAAAAAAAUGAGAAUGGUUCUUGCAAAUGCAUGAUUUGGUUCAGUUGAUGGGUAGGGAUAUUGUUCAACAAGAAUGUUGCAAUGAUCCUGGGAAACGCAGCAGAUUAUGGCUUUUGGAAGAUGUUGAGGACAUUUUUUGUUAUAAUACAAUAAAAUUUGUUUGUCAGUUUUGCUACAUUUCAGUUUACAUUACUCUAAUUCGGACAGUAUAAUGUAAAUCUUAACUAGAAAUUUUGUCUAACAACUGAGUUUGCUCUGUUAUGGAUAGGGGACAAAUGCAGUAAAGGCCAUAGUAUUGAAAUGGUCCCCACCAGAAGCGAUAAUCAUCAAUCCUGAUGCUUUCACAAAUAUGAAAAAGUUGAGAAUGCUCAUUUUGCUUGGAGUUCAUAUCUCUUCACAAGCUCAAGUACUUCUCCCUAAUGAGCUAAGGUGGCUUGAAUGGCCCAAUGCUGUGAAUCUAGAAUUUGGCUCUGGUUCGAAUAAACUUGUGGGACUCAAUGUCCCGAAAAGUCAUAUUAGACAAUUAGGGGGCAAUUUUCAGGUAAGCCCUUGUGAUAAUUAGCUUUUCCUUUUUAUAGCUAUAAAAAUAAUUUGCAGAGCUUAAUGACUGUACUAGUAUGUUUUUGCAGAAGUUUAGAGAACUGAAGUACAUCAAUUUUUGUGAAUGCAAGUUCCUGGUUAGUAUUCCUGAUCUGUCAUCAGCUCCAAAUAUGGAGAAAUUGAUUCUUAAUAGGUGUGAGAGCUUGGUGGAGGUUCACCCAUCCGUUGGAAAUCUUGUCAAGCUAGAAGUUUUGUCGCUAGAAUUGUGCUCUAAUCUUAGUAAUUUUCCUAACACAAUGAGGACUAAAUCUCUUCAAACCCUAACACUCGCUGGUUGCUCUAAACUUGAGAAGUUCCCAGAUACUGACGAAAAGAUGGAACAUUUGAGAAGCCUUUCUCUAGGCAGGACAGCUAUUAAAGAACUCCCCGCAUCAAUUCAAAAUAUUGUCUCUGUGAAGUAUAUGUAUUUAGCAUCUUGCAAAAACCUGGUGAGGCUUCCAUUGCACAUUUAUAAAUUGAAAAAUCUCUUCUAUUUGGAUCUUGAUGGCUGCUCGAAUUUAACCACGUUUCCAAAAAACUUAGAGGAUUCAAUUGAUCUCGAUGGCUGUCUGGGAUUCCGAGAACUAUCCUGCCUAGUGCUUAGUGGUUGCAAUCUAUCAGAAGUAGAGUUCCUUGAGUUAUUCCAGUUUUCCCAAUUUGUGCUCCCUAGUCCUUUCAAAUAACAAGUUUACUCAUUUGCCAACAUGCAUCAACAAGUACUAUCAUUUGGGCACAUUGCGUGUUAAGGGAUGCGAGCUACUACAAGAGAUUCCUCAGCUUCCACCAAAUAUUUGUGUACUACCAGCAUCUAAUUGCAACACCCUGCAAAAAAUCCCAGAUUUGCUGGGGGAUCGUCGUUCCUUUUCGGGUGAUUUGAGUUCAUGUCGUGAAUUAUUCUGCGAAGGGGUCAAUAUGGAUGGUGUGGCUAAUUUGUCAUUACUCGAGGUCUCUCUCUCUCUCUCUCUCUAUAUAUAUAUACUUAAGUGCUUGAUAUGCAUACCCUCUGCGUGACAGAAACUGCGAAAGAUGGGCUAGCUUGACAUUAUUAUAAGUGGAAGAGAGAUGCCUAAAUGGAUUCAACCCUGUGAAGAGCAUUCCAUAUUUUUCAUGGUUCCAUGGGACUUUUAUGAUAAGUUUAAAGGGCUAGCACUCUGUGUUGUUCUUAGCCCGGAGGAAGGAAAAGUGGUCGACGUUUUAUGUCACGUCACGAUACUUGUAAAUGGCCAAUCCGUGAUGACUCUGGGCAAAAAACUUUGGUCAAUGGAAUCUGACCAUGUGUGGCUUUAUUAUUAUUCACACGAUGGUCUGUUUAAAGAGAAGAAGCUUUUGCGAAAUGAUUGGAGCCAUGUCCAUGUCUGCUUCGAAGCAAAACAGGGAAGCAUAAAGAAGUGUGGAUUCCGUCUAAUAUGUGAACAAAAGGAGGAUGAUCUAAGGGUGGUGUUCCCAGUAUCACCAGCUGAUGGAAGCAACCCAGUACCACCAGCUAAUGGAAGCAAUGUGAAGGUUUUCUGGGAAGACUCAGAAGAAGAAAAUUCAAUAGAACCCGGGGAAGAAACUCCAAUUGAAACAGAUGCAGAGGAAAGCUCAUCACCUUUAACAAAGAAGAUAAGACGGUCUUAACUACGGUGAGACUUUGAGUUCUAAUGUCUUUGCUUUUCCCUUUUCUGGACCUCCACUAGAGAUUUGCAAGUGUUUGCUCCUUCAAUUAGAAUUCAAGAUCAUUAUAAAACAGAGGUUUCGCACCAUGCUACUAACAUGAUUAGGGAACAUUUUUUUUUUUUUUUUGCCUCUGAUUCUUUAUGAUUUGUAAUGCCUGUGCAUUAACCAAAAAUUAAGAGGAUGCCUGUUGAAAUGGCCAUGGUCUUCCAAGUUGCUCCAUGUAAUUUAUUAGAUGGGCCUGUGUCGCCUCUCUUAAUCCAAUUCCAAUUAAUGAUGUUGAUAUUUCAUAAUUCAAAAUUAUGAGAUAGUAAGUUUUGCUAAAUCUACUAUAAUCUAUAUCUUUAGGAAAGUGCUGUUCGAAUUGUCUCAUAGAUCAAGAGGUCUAUACAGGGAAAGUUAGUUGAUUCCUCUGUUGUUACUCGGCAGCUUGCAUUGGAUAGGUAUAAAGGGAGAGCUUUGGCGUAUGAGAAACGUUGCAUUUUAGUAAAGGAGAUUGACUUCAAGGAUAUUCAUGAAAAGCAAACAGUAUUUGGCAAACACCAAACACCUUCUAAAAUAAGUAUUGCAAAGCAAUUUUUAGAAUGAGAAAAAAAAAAUUAACAAGGAAGAAUGAAGGAACUUGCAAGUACAUAUGAAAGCACAAGCGGGUGGCACAACAGUAGGACUAGUGUCGACCUUGUGCGAUCCUAGGCAAUAUGCCAUUGAGGUCAACCAAACCUAGGAGACGCAACACCAGUGUUGCUUGACCCUAGGCGACAUGGCACUCGACGCCAAUGUCCCAUAACCUCAAGUGGUGGAAUGUCGAAGCCACACAACUAGGCAACGCGACGCUCAACCCUCGACAAGCUAAAUCUGGCAUCAAGCAACCCUCACAAAGCUUCUAGGAAUCAUGCAAUCGUCAACAAAGCUUUGCCGGUGUCCAUCAACCGUCGGCCUCCUUCACGAAGCUUCCUAGCCAUAACCAACCAUGGCUUUCUCUCUCCUAACCAAAAUUGAGGGGUAAAAUAUUAUUACAAAUAUAUUUUGAUGAUGGUAAGAUUGUAAGAAAAGAAAUUUCAUUAAUCUCCCGAACUUGCAUUCGGAAAAUACUAAAGUCCAAAGGUGAGGCUCGCCUCAAGCUUAAAGCAUUUCAAAGCAGAACUUUUUAUUAAAAAGUUUUUGAAGUUAUGUUACCAAAUAUCAAAACUUGUUUUAAGAGCUUUUGAAAGCUAAAACAGCUUAAUUCAAGAUGACGGAGCACUCAAAUUUUUAAUGGCCAAAUUGGACGGGAUUGAAACGGAGGGUAAAAUUGGAAGAGUAUAUCAAUUUGGGGGUCCCUGUGGGUCAAACAAUAAUUUUUAGUAAAUUAUUUAAGGGUAUUGAUUUAAGAUUUUUUGUGAUGGUAAUCCAAAAAUGGAGUUUCAAGGAAAAAAAAAAAACUCAAAGGAAGACAAUUUUCAAUAGAUACCGAGGAAGAAUAUAGUCCAGUGGAACAAAACUUAACAAAGAAGAUGAAAUGGUCUCUACCGUGGCAGAGUAUGGCUUGCAAAACAUGCUUGUUGAGUUGGUCAUGACUUGUUGAGGAAGUGAUUCCAGGUGAUUUUCAUUCCAAUGUCUCUAGCUUUUCCCUUUUUUUGUAUACUGAAAUUUGAAAAUGUCUGCUCCUUGGAUCAGAAUUUAAAAUCACAAUGAAAUAGAGGUUUCGCCUCAGGCUACUAACAUGGUUGAGGAACUUCUUCGUUUUCCUCUCUUUUAUGAUUUGUGAUGUUGAGUGCAUAAAAUCAAAAUUAAUUGGAUGCUUGUUGAAUGGCCAUUGGUCUUCCAAGUUGCUCCGUGUAAUUUAUCAUAUGGACCUCAAGGAGAACAAAGGACUAUGUCGACGCUUAUGAAAGCACAGAUGAGCGACACAACGGUGGGACCAAUGCCGACAUUGCACGCCCCCAAGCGAUGUGGCAUCGAGGUCGAGCAAACCCACACAAUGCAACAUCCAUGUCUUGUGACCCCAAGUGGUGCAUCGCAGAGGCCACCCGCUAGGCAACACAACACUUGACCCUCGUUAAGCUAAAAUUGGCAUCGAGCGACCUUGACCAAGCUUCCCAGCAUCAUGCAACUGUCAACGAGCUAGAUCUAGUGUCAAGCAAUCCUCAACGAAAGUUGAGGACUUAUCUUGAGCUUUGAAUAUUUUCAAAACAAAAAUUUGUACAAAAAAUCUUUGAAAUUGUGUUACCAAAUUUCAAAACUUUGAAUCAAAGGCAUUUGGAGGCCCAAAACAAGUUAAUUCAAACACUCAAAAUUUAUAAUGGCUAAAUUAGAUGGGAUUGAAAAGGAAGGUGAAAUUGGAAUACACUAAAAUUGCCUUUAUAUUCUUCAUCAGCUUACAUUAAAAUUCAAUGAUGUAGAAAUGACAUUUGCUGAUUUCUCAAUCCGACAUCUUAAGCUAAAUAUAAGAUUACUAUAGUCUCCACACAAGUGACCUAAUCACAUUAUGAGAGAAUGAGAUAUCAAAAGCUCAUUACUAAACUAUCACUUAUAAUCAUUAAAGGUUCAAGAUCAUGUGCACGGCGAUGUCUUUUUUCAAUAUCUAAUUUCUUGGAUCGUAACAUGUAUUCAGGUCUCGUAUGAUUCACCAGUCAUAACAUCACUCCUUCGCUCACUCUCUCUCUCUCUCUCUCUCUCUCUCUCUCAUGUGCAAACAAAUUUAUACUCCACAGAGGACAGGAAAGAACUACCAACGCUAGUGACCCUCUUUUGGAUGUCACCCCAUAAAGAGUAUUGUUGACCUCUGAGUUUUGUCCAUUGUCCAAGUGUCCAUUUUGGGCAAAAACAUAAAAGCGCUAGUGACCUUGAGUAUUGUCCAUUGUCCAAGUGUCCAUUUUGGGCAAAAACAUAAAAGUGCAAAUAAUAAUAAUUAGAAUUAGUUCAGCCCAAAAUCUAAUCCCCUCAGCCCAUCUUUUAGUUCCCUUUGAGCCCAUUUUUUUUGUUCCUAAUGUUGUCCUCAAUAGCCCAUCUGAACUUAAAACAAGAAGGCCCAGGCCAUAUCCAGGCCCCUUCUCUUUCGCAUGCUCACGUCUGUGAGCGAAGAAGACGCGAGCAGUGACCGAGCAAAAGAGGCGUCCGUGAGUCGGUCUGUGAGAGAACAAUGAGAGAGGGAAAGUAACAUAAAAGAUUCCUUCUCGGAGAGAGAGGGGAGGAGGACGCUCGACGACAUGGAGAGUGCAUCCCGUUUCGGAGUAGCAGAAAACCGCAUCGCCGGAGUUCGCCGUCGGUUUUCAGAGCUCCGGUCAACGGCCAAUCCGUGAGUUGUUCUUCACAGAGUCGGUGUCGAAGGUCAGACGAGUACUGAGAUUUCUUCCGCGAGAGGAGGAAAAGCUCUAACCAGACGCCCUUCAUCGUCGUCAAUCGAGACCUCGAUUCGCCGAACAAACCAGGUACAAUCUCGCUCCAAACGCUCUACUUUGUCUCUGUUUUGGCCGAGAAAGACAUGCUCGGUUCGAUCGAUUUUCUUGAAGAGAUCUUGAUAAGACGAAGUUUUUUUGUUGCUAACCAUGGUGUUUUAAGUCUGUUCGUAACGUGUGAGGCUGAGGAUCUCAUUAAAAUUAAAACAGAAAACCAUUGAAAGAUCUGCGUAUUGCAUAUUUGAUAAAAUGCCUAAAAGAGCGUCGAAUGUCAACUCCCGUCUAAAUUCAAGAUCGAUUCGUACUUGCUGUGUUUUUUGUUGAAUCAUAUCUAAUACUGGCAUUUUCUCUGUGUUUCUAUGCGAUUUGAUGUCUUUGCUUGAGUCCAACGUACAUGCGUAUCUCCAAGGCCGGAAAACUUUUCGUCAGAGUAUCCCCUUGCGCUGGCGAAGUCAGUGUUUCAGGGACAUACUAGUUAGCCCAUCUCACUUCAUUCUAAUGUAUUUUUUCUUGUUAAUUUUUUGGGAUGCUGCGGUGAAAAGUGUGGAUUAGGUAGGAUGGUUUCUGUUAAGUUUCGCGAUAAUGGAGCGGGAGGCCAGAGGUGGUCAACGUCGGUCGGAAUAAAUGAUCAGCGGUUGGAGAUAGAUGGGCGGUAAUCUAAGUUCUGGUGAUAAACUCGUCGACGAUGGUAUUUGUUUCGUUAAAAAGAAAAAAAUGGCGCGAAAGGUGGGGUUGCAGGUUGAAAAUGGCGUUCGGGCAAAGGAUGUCUGGAGGAAGAAGAGGAAGUGCAGGCAGAAAAAGUCCAGUUUUAAUCCGACGCGUGCCGGAUGCGGGUAUAAGGGUCGGGUCAAUGGGUCGGUGGGGUAAACAGUCCGAACCCAUUCCCCGAAUAUAAUAAUAAUUAUUAAAAAU